CUUGUGUUCUGUCCAGGCUGACAUCUGGUCCCUGGGGAUCACGGCCAUUGAGCUGGCCAAGGGGGAGCCUCCAAACUCUGACCUCCACCCCAUGCGCGUCCUGUUCCUGAUUCCCAAGAACAGCCCACCCACGCUGGAGGGCCAGCACAGCAAGCCCUUCAAGGAGUUCGUGGAGGCCUGCCUCAACAAAGACCCCCGAUUCCGGCCCACGGCCAAGGAGCUCCUGAAGCACAAGUUCAUCACCCGCUACACCAAGAAGACCUCCUUCCUCACGGAGCUCAUCGACCGCUAUAAGCGCUGGAAGUCAGAGGGGCAUGGCGAGGAGUCCAGCUCUGAGGACUCUGACAUUGAUGGCGAGGCGGAGGACGGGGAGCAGGGCCCCAUCUGGACGUUCCCCCCUACCAUCCGGCCGAGUCCACACAGCAAGCUUCACAAGGGGACGGCUCUGCACAGUUCACAGAAGCCUGCGGAGCCCGUCAAGAGGCAGCCGAGGUCCCAGUGCCUGUCCACGCUGGUCCGGCCCGUCUUCGGAGAGGUGCAAACACAGAUGAUCCUUCUAUAGAGAAAACAGAGAAGGUUUAGUCGGGGUCCAUCCCCGGGCAGGUGCCGCCCUGGUUAGUCACGUGACCCUGCAUCAACUUCACCUGCUGAUGGGCAGUCAGCACCGUCCUCAGAAAUGUGAUACAGCCAGGAUCUCUGUGCCCAGGGCGUGGCCAGUGGGCUUGGGCCCAGCUCAAAGAGAAGCACAAGCAGAGCGGCGGGAGCGUGGGUGCGCUGGAGGAGCUGGAGAACGCCUUCAGCCUGGCCGAGGAGUCCUGCCCCGGCAUCUCAGACAAGCUGAUGGUGCACCUGGUGGAGCGAGUGCAGAGGUUUUCACACAACAGAAACCACCUGACAUCCACCCGCUGAAGCGCGCUGCUGUUCAGAUAGGGGACGGAAGGUCGUUUGUUUUUGUUCUGAGCUCCGUAAGAACUGUGCUGACUUGGAAGGUGCCCUGUGCUGUGUCGUGCCUGCAGGGACACGUCGGAUCCCGUGGGCCUCACAUGCCAGGUCACCAGGUCACCGUCUCCUUCCACCCCUGCAGUGUGCUGUUCUGCACGUCAGGGACGCUGUUCUCUAUGCC
rnacentral:sRNA from 1 species